ensembl:lncRNA
CCGCCCCCCCCCGGCCCCACCGCUCCGCGGACGCGCAGCGAGGCGCGGCCGAAGCCGCCCCCGUCCUGCUCCGGCGGCCGCUGUCCCCUCGGGGCCGCGCUGCGCUGCUCCCCGCGCAGGGUGGGACGCGGGGACGCCCGGGUACCCCCCUCUCCGCCGCCUCCUCUCCCCUCUUUCUGCCCCCACUAAGGCUCAUCCUGCUGACAGCGAGCCCUGGUCGCUGCCCUCCCGGCGUCGCCGAGAGCCCCGAGCAGAGCCCCGGCUGUCCCCGGGGCCGCUCCCCCCGCCGCAGGUUCAUCUUCGCCGCCCGGCCCCCGACGGGGCGGCCACAGCGCGGCCGCUCCGGGGCUGCCCGUGCCGGUCCCGGCCGCCGUGAGGGGCGGUGGGGCCGGGGGGGUCCCGCUGACCAUUGAACAGGGCGAGGUGGCGAGCGGGGAUUGAAAUUUAGACCUGCUUUGGACUUUGCUUCCUCGCCACCGCGGAAAUGUGCUGACAGCAGCCUUGGCAAAAAUGGGGCUUGCUCGGGCUUUUUUUCUUCCUACUCCCCUCUACCCCCCCCCNCCCCCCCGUUUUGUUUGUUUGUUUUGUUUCGUUGUGUUUUCCUUCCCCCUCGCAAAGCGACCCCGGAGCCUCGCAUUGCCCCACGCCGGGGGCAACUCUCCCGCGGCCCCGACGGCGACCCGCGGCCACCUCCGAGGGGAACGGCGGGGCGCAGCCCACCGGGCCCUGCCUGCAGCCGCGACCCCGCCAGGAAACGUCGCCUCUCCGCCGGCACAGGGCCUGCCGCCCCCGGCCGCCGCCCCCCGCACCGCUGUAACGUCGCAAACGCCCUCGCCUGCAGAAUAAAAACCGAUGCAGAGCAGCCUCGUCUCCCCGACCCUCUGUGCCGCGCCCGUCGGGGGGACAGCGGGGUGGGGGCUGAGGAGAGCCGGACACCGUUUCCCCGGCCCCGACGGACGCGAAAGCGACCCCAGGAGCCUGCGCCCAUGGACGGGGAGGGCGGCGCGAUGCGGCCGGGCAAAACCCAACGCGGCCUCGGCAAUGAGCGGCCCUGGGGAAGGAGAGCCGCGGCCUCCUGCCCUGCCCUGCCCGGCUCUCCGCCGCCGAGCGCUCCCCGGGCCGGGGCAGCGGCGGCCGGGACGCCCCGGGGGGACGGGACGGGACAGGACGGGCC